rnacentral:rRNA from 1 species
GAGAACGGAACCUUCGGGUUCCCAGUAAAGUGGCGCACGGGUGAGUAACACGUGGGUAACCUACCCUUUGGCGGGGGAUAACAGUUCGAAAGGACUGCUAAUACCGCAUAAGCCCUCAACUCCUACGGGAGCUGAGGGGAAAGAGGCGCAAGUCUCACCGAAGGAUGGGCUCGCGGACCAUUAGCUAGUUGGUGGGGUAAUGGCCUACCAAGGCUUCGAUGGUUAGCUGGUCUGAGAGGAUGAUCAGCCACACUGGAACUGACACACGGUCCAGACUCCUACGGGAGGCAGCAGUGGGGAAUAUUGCGCAAUGGGCGAAAGCCUGACGCAGCAACGCCGCGUGUGUGAUGAAGGCCUUAGGGUUGUAAAGCACUGUCCAGAGGGAAGAACCGACGGGGGUAAUGCCUCGUCCUGACGGUACCUCUGUAGAAAGCACUGGCUAACUCCGUGCCAGCAGCCGCGGUAAUACGGAGAGUGCAAGCGUUGUUCGGAAUUACUGGGCGUAAAGGGUGUCUAGGCGGCCUGGCAAGUCAGAUGUGAAAGCCCUCGGCUCAACCGAGGAAGUGCAUCUGAAACUGCUAGGCUUGAGUACUGGAGGGGGUAGCGGAAUUCCCGGUGUAGAGGUGAAAUUCGUAGAGAUCGGGAGGAACACCUGUGGCGAAGGCGGCUACCUGGACAGAUACUGACGCUGAAGCACGAAAGCGUGGGGAGCAAACAGGAUUAGAUACCCUGGUAGUCCACGCCGUAAACGAUGGGUACUAGCUAUACCGGGUAAUUGACCCCUGGUGUGGCGUANCUAACGCGUUAAGUACCCCGCCUGGGGAGUACGGNC